CUCGGGGAGCUCAGGCACCUGGGGUUCUCCAGCCUUUCAACUCCCAGACACACUUCCUGCUGCUUUCCAUCCUGCCAACAACCUCGCUCAGCUCUGAUGUUGACUCCUGGCUACCCCUGGGCUCCUCGGCUGCCUGACUCCUCAGGAUGCCUUCUACCCAGUGGGGUGUUGGGAGGCCAGGCCUGGGGUGGGGACCUCCUGGUGGGGUGCACCCCUCCAAGGCAGCCUUCCCCCUCCCCCAGGUCCCUAACUGCCCCCUCUCCGACCUCUCUUCCAUGUUCCUGCACUAUCUCCCACCCCAGGGCUGGGCUGUUGCGUGGAAAGACUGGUUUUAUCUUCAACUGUCUUGUGUUUUCUCUUGGGCAACUAAGGAAAUGAAGAGCCUGACAGGGUGAGAAACCUGACUUGUUCACGGAAACAGGAAAUGGCAAAGCCAGGAUUUGAACCCAGCCGGGAUGACGUCUGAGCCCCUGCUCUUUCUCCACCCCACCACGUGGCCUGGAAAGGCCCUGAGCAGUCCCCCUGCCCGGGGCAGGCAGGGCAGCCCAGCAACGUGCCCUGACCUGAACACCUCCUGGGCCCCAGGGGAGGCAGACGUGGGCCACUGCAGCAGAACAUGAUUGGUCAUCUCUCGCCUUUCCAUGCUGGGUGGACGCGACUCUGGGGAAACAGGUUUUCAGCAUGGUGUGAUGAAGGAGCGUUAGAUGGGGAACGGGAUCUGAGUCCCAACAGGGCUCUGCUGCAGAACCAUGUCCAUGUUGCAGGCUGGCUCCGUGGUGUAGCUGGUAAAGCUGCUGCCGGUGACACCAGAAUUCCAUAUGGUCGCCAGUUCGAGUCCCAGCUGCUCUACUUCCCAUCCAGCUCUCUGCUAAUGCAUUUGGGAAAGCAGCAGAGGAUGGCCCAGGUCCUUGGGCCCCUGCACCCAUGUGGGAGGCCUGGAAGAAGCUCCUGGCUCCUGACUUCAGGUUGGCGCAGCUCUAGCCGUUGUGGCCAUUUGGGGAGUGAACCAGCAGAUGGAAGAUCUCUCUCUCGCUCUGUGUGUGUGUGUGUGUGUGUCUCCCUCUUUCUCUGUAUGUAAC